UGAUGAAUAUGAAGGAAAUAUUAAAACGAUCAAAUAAAAAAUGUGUUUACUGAAGUGUGUGUGUUUUUUUAAUGCUAAAAUACUUUCUCCAGUAGCUUAAUUCCGCACAGCAACAGUGGCUCAACCAAUGGUUUGAGUUUGGGGGCGGAGCUACUUGUUUAUUCAACUAAUGGCAGGCAGGUGAAACCUGUUUGAAAGCAGUCAUUCUUUCAGAGACACUAAUGCCUCGGAAAUUGUUUAACAAACAUAAAGUGAAGGAAAUUCAGGAGAUAUUCCAACAAAAGUAUCAUAGUGUGUUUAUUGUAUUUUAAAGAGCCACAGCAUUGAUUUUCAGGUCGAUUUUGCGUCUCUCUGCUGGGGUUUAUUUUGAAAGUCCCUCCCAGUCUUUGUUGUUCCUGUUACAGCAAAAGGAUGCUGUUGUUCCAGCACUCUGCUUUUGCCCAGUCAAGCUUUUGAGUCGAAAUGGCUGUCCAGGAAUCCUAUAUGCUUCCUUCCCCUCCAGGACCUGGAGCUCUGCCUUCAGCCAAAGAGAUGAGAAGUGCCUGCUCUUACUGAGUUUGAAGAAAGAGAGAGAAAGAGACUGCAGACAUGGAUAAAAUAUGGAAGAGGAUGGAUCUCUGCUCAAACACGACUACAGAACGUGAAGGCACUGGUGCUGUUCCUGACGAGUCACUAUGCAGUGCGAUUCAUUGGUCAAUUAUGUCACGCCAGCGAACACGGCAGCUGGAGGAACAGGAAGUGUGUCAGCUGCUGAAUCAGCAAAACUCGGCAGCACAAUUUAUAUGGGGCUUCUAUCUGUCUCUCUUUCAAGCAAGAAAACAUUGAAAUACAAAACCGGUUGCGUCAAUGCAGGUCACAGUUUUGUUGCUGUUCAGUUCCACAGUAGAGCCAUUGUUGCUUUUUAACUGAAGCGUGUGACGGCAAACAAGAAUAAAGACAGGUAAUGGUGCAUUCCAGUUGUACACGGAAUUCAGACUCUGAGUUCUCAGUCGGAGUUCUGAUUCUGAAACUUCGAGGUACAGCAACAACCUGGACUUCAGAAUCCAAAAUGUCUGCUCAUUGCAUCAACAGUCAAGGCAGGGCAAACAAGAUUUUGAACUGAAUGUUCCCAACCAUGGAGAGCAACAGUGUAUGCAAACAGGAGCCUUGAAUAGAGUUGGGAAUUGCUGACUGAGCGGAAUGACCAUCAGACGGUGUGGACAGGAGCCAAACCCCGCAGGAUUUUGGUUCAUGGGUUCAUGAACGCAGCCCACGGGGUGCUACUAAAAACAUUCCUAUGAUCUCAGACUGUGUUGUAGAGUUCAGAUGAAAUGAAUGCUCGCCUACAUAAACUUGUUCAAGCUGUGAUGUUCUGUUGUUCCAACAGGUUGCAAAAUGUCACUCAACUUCAAGUUUCUGCCUAAAGUUAGGGAGUUUUUCUUCUAAAAGCAUGAUAGGGCAACAUACAGGACAUGUUAGCAGUGCUGUAGCAUUUAGUCAGCAAAUUCCAUGGUGAUCCUUAAACAUUAAACCCUUAAGCCAAGAAAAUCCGCAUGGAUCUUGGUUGAAAAAGAAACCCAAACUGAGAAGUUGUCUUUUUUUCUUCCCUGCCACCAGAGUUCAAUUUCACCCGGCAACAAUGUGAUGUCAUUAGGAGAGAAAAAAAAUCAGCCAAUCACAGUGCCGGCUGAUCAGCCUGAGGUCACAAUGCUGUAUCCUAGCAAUGGCCAAAUCCUGCUGUUGUGAACUUCCUGAGACAGUCUAGUUUUAUGCAAUCUAGAAAUCAUGUCAGUGGAUUUUGCAAACAUUUUACAACCCCCCCCCACACACACAUCUGUUCACAGAUAAAUCUGCAGAAAAUUCCAGUGUUAUUUUAGGACAAU